rnacentral:rRNA from 1 species
UGGGGAAUCUUGCGCAAUGGACGAAAGUCUGACGCAGCGACGCCGCGUGGGUGACGAAGGCCUUCGGGUUGUAAAGCCCUGUGGGGCGAGACGAAUAACAUCUGUUGAAUAGAUAGAUGAGUGACGGUAUCGCCUUAGCAAGCACCGGCUAACUCUGUGCCAGCAGCCGCGGUAAGACAGAGGGUGCAAACGUUGUUCGGAAUUACUGGGCGUAAAGGGCGCGUAGGCGGUUCUUCAAGUCAGGUGUGAAAGUCCUGGGCUCAACCUGGGAAGUGCAUUUGAUACUGAAGAACUAGAGUGUCGGAGAGGAAGGUAGAAUUCUUGGUGUAGAGGUGAAAUUCGUAGAUAUCAAGAGGAAUACCUGUGGCGAAAGCGGCCUUCUGGACGAACACUGACGCUG